UCGGCCAGAGACCGANNGCGCACAAGUAGAGUGAUCGAAAGAUGAAAAAGNNCUUUGNAAAGAGGGUUAAAUAGCACGUGAAAUUGUUGAAAGGGAAGNACUUAUGACCAGACUUUUUCCUNNNGGAUCAUCCGGUGNUNUCACCGGUGCACUUCUCCAGGUUUAGGCCAGCGUCGAUNUCCGUAGGGGGAUAAAAGUUUUCGGGAAUGUGACUCCCUCCGGGGAGUGUUAUAGCCCGUUUCAUAAUACCCUUAUGGGGAUCGAGGUUCGCNNUCUGCAAGGACGCUGGCAUAAUGGUCAUCAGUGACCCGUCUUGAAACACGGACCAAGGAGUCGAACAUUUAUGCGAGUGUUUGGGUGUNNAANCCUCACGCGUAAUGAAAGUGAACGGAGGUGAGAGCCUUAGGGUGCAUCAUCGACCGAUCCUGAUGUCUUCGGAUGGAUUUGAGUAAGAGCAUAACUGUUCGGACCCGAAAGAUGGUGAACUAUGCGUGGAUAGGGUGAAGCCAGAGGAAACUCUGGUGGAGGCUCGCAGCGGUUCUGACGUGCAAAUCGAUCGUCAAAUCUGCGCAUGGGGGCGAAAGACUAAUCGAACCAUCUAGUAGCUGGUUACCGCCGAAGUUUCCCUCAGGAUAGCAGUGUUGUUUUCAGUUUUAUGAGGUAAAGCGAAUGAUUAGGGACUCGGGGGCGCCAUAUAGCCUUCAUCCAUUCUCAAACUUUAAAUAUGUAAGAAGCCCUUGUUACUUAACUGAACGUGGGCAUUCGAAUGUAUCAACACUAGUGGGCCAUUUUUGGUAAGCAGAACUGGCGAUGCGGGAUGAACCGAACGCGAGGUUAAGGUGCCAGAGUAGACGCUCAUCAGACACCACAAAAGGUGUUAGUACAUUUUGACAUUUGGACGGUGGCCAUGGAAGUCGGAAUCCGCUAAGGACUGUGUAACAACUCACCAAACGAAUGUACUAGCCCUGAAAAUGGAUGGCGCUCAAGCGUCUCACCCAUACCUCGCCCUCAGGGUAGAAACGAUGCCCUGAGGAGUAGGCGGCCGUGGGGGUCAGUGACGAAGCCUAGGGCGUGAGCCCGGGUUGACGGCC
rnacentral:rRNA from 1 species